GUGUUUCUUAGUUUGAGAGGGAGCAGAAAAAUUAUUGAGAAUUUUGUUCUUUUUUUUUUUUGGGUAUGCAAUAUUAACGGUCCGUGUUUUUUGUGGGAAGAUUUUGUGUGUUUUUUUUAUUCUUGCUUUUUUUUUUUUUGUUUCUUUUUUAGUGAAAAAAAAGUACGGGGAUUUUAUGAGGUGGUGGUGAAUUUGGAGUGGACACAGCAAACUAAAGCAUCUGGUUUCUAUGCUGAAAUGGGUUUUUUCGCCGCUUUGUGGAUGAUGGGCUUGUUGCGGAAACUGAAUUCUACACUUUCAUGGUGGUUUUUGUGAUCUUCUUCUUCUUUCUUAAGCAGGGAAUUUGUCAUACGAGUUUGUGAAGUUAAGGAUGGGGAUAUUGAUAUGUUUUGGGGCUCGUUUGUGAGCUACUUAUAUAGAUUGAUGAUGGUAGAAGAAAGGGUUUGUGAUAGUAGUGGAAGAAUAUAUCCAGUCUUUGGAUGUUUGUGUGCUGGCUUAUGUGCUGCUUUAAGUGGAUAACAAUGGAGGGAUCAUCCGAUCACCUUAGGAACCUGGAUGAUAUAUCUGGGGUUUGUGAGGAAGAUAUACUUGCCGACCCUUAUCUGCGUUCUCAUAAAUGGAGUGAUAUUAGUUUGAGGCAAUGGUUGGAUAAGCCAGGAAGAUCAGUGGAUGCUCUUGAAUGCCUUCAUAUAUUUAGGCAAAUAGUGGAGAUUGUUAAUAUUGCUCAUGCUCAAGGCAUUGUUGUUCACAAUGUGCGUCCUUCAUGCUUUGUAAUGUCUUCUUUCAACCAUGUAACCUUUAUUGAGUCGGCAUCAUGUUCAGAUUCUGGCUCUGAUUCUCUUGAGGAUGGCAUUAAUAGUCAAAUGGCAGAGGUUAAAACAUCAUCUUCUCCCUUUCCAAGCAGCCUUGGAAGUGAGGGUUUUCGAUCUGUUAUGACCCCUAUAAACGCUUUGUCUGAAACUAGUUGCAUGCAGUCAAGUUCAAUAUAUGCUGCCCAAGCAUCCUUAAAUGAAGGGUUUGGGAAAUUUAGAAAAAAAGAUAGAAGACAUAUUGAAGAAACAGAAGAUAAGGUGCAAUCGUUUCCCAUGAAACAGAUAUUGGCCAUGGAGACUACAUGGUACACCAGCCCAGAAGAGGCUUCGGAUAGCCCAAGUUCCAGUGCUUCAGAUAUCUACCGGUUAGGAGUUCUUCUUUUUGAGUUAUUCUGCUCCUUCAGCUCGAGAGAAGAGAAGAAUAGAACUAUGUCCAGCUUGAGGCAUAGAGUGCUUCCUACUCAAUUGCUGUUGAAGUGGCCAAAAGAAGCUUCAUUUUGCUUAUGGUUACUGCAUCCUGAGCCAACCAAUCGACCUAAGCUAAGUGAAUUAUUGCAAAGUGUAUUUCUCAAUGAACCAAAAGAUGAUCUAGAAGAACGUGAAGCAGCAAUCAAGCUUCGAAAAAAAAUUGAAGAGCAGGAGUUACUGCUAGAAUUCCUUUUGCUCAUGCAACAAAGAAAGCAGGAAGCUGCUCAUAAGCUGCAAGAUACCAUUUCAUUUCUAUGCAGUGAUAUUGAACAAGUUAUGAGGCACCAAACUAAUUUCAAGAAAAAUAUUGGGUCACACACAGAUCUUGUGAAGGACAAUCAUUUGCCAUUAAAUCUCCCUUCAAUGCCUCCUGUCAGGAAUACUGAUUCUGCUGCUCUGGGAUCAAGGAAACGAUUUAGACCAGGAAUUUUGACCCAUGAUAUAGAAGCAUGCGGUGAUAAUCUUGAUCAUUGCUCAAAGACAAGUUCAGAGAAUGAUAACGAACAAGGCGUACUUUUUAAGAGUUCUCGAUUAAUGAAGAACUUUAAGAAAUUGGAGUUAGCAUACUUUUUGAUGAGAGGUAGAGUAAACAAGCCAUCAAGGCAGUUUGUUAAACACUCAUCAGUAAGUAGUGAUGGUAGGGGGUCCGUAGUUUUAACUGAAAGAAGUUCAGUUAAUAAUUUGGCUUCAAAAGAGAGUUGCAAUGACAAUAGACAAGGUGGGUGGAUAAGUCCAUUCCUGGAAGGUUUGUGCAAGUAUCUAUCCUUUAGCAAGUUAAAAGUAAAGGCAGACUUGAAGCAAGGAGAUCUAUUGAAUUCCUCCAACUUAGUGUGUUCUCUCAGUUUUGAUCGUGAUGGAGAAUUUUUUGCCACAGCUGGUGUUAAUAGGAAAAUUAAAGUGUUUGGAUAUGACUCAAUUGUGAACGAAGACCGUGAUAUUCAUUACCCUGUUGUUGAAAUGGCCAGCAGGUCAAAACUAAGCAGUGUUUGUUGGAAUCGUUACAUCAAAAGUCAAAUUGCUUCAAGUAAUUUUGAGGGUGUAGUGCAGGUAUGGGAUGUCACAAGAAGUCAAGUAGUCACUGAAAUGGGAGAACAUGAGCGGCGUGUAUGGUCCAUUGACUUCUCAUCAGCAGAUCCUACAAUUUUGGCAAGUGGGAGUGAUGAUGGAUCAGUUAAGCUCUGGAGUAUCAAUCAGGCAAUUCUAUUUUUCCACUUGGUGGAUGUCAGCUUUGAAACUAAACGGUAUAAGUAUUGGAACAAUCAGAACAAAAGCCAAUGUCUGCUGUGUACAAUUUCCUGUGGAUUCUGGUCGGUCACUUGCAUUUGGUUCAGCUGAUCACAAAAUUUAUUACUAUGACAUGCGGAAUAUAAGAGUACCUUUGUGCACCUUCACUGGACAUAACAAAACUGUGAGUUACGUCAAGUAUAUAGACUCAAGCACUCUUGUUUCUGCAUCCACGGAUAACACUUUGAAGCUCUGGGAUUUGUCCAUGUCCACAUCCCGGGUUGUUGAUUCUCCAGUUCAGUCCUUCACAGGCCACAUGAAUAUUAAGAACUUUGUGGGGCUGUCCGUUUCUGAUGGUUACAUUGCUACAGGUUCAGAGACAAAUGAGGUUUUCGUCUACCACAAAGCCUUUCCAAUGCCCGCAUUGUCGUACAAGUUUCAAAUCGAUCCUCUUUCAAGUCAUGAAAUGGACGACUCCGCACAAUUUAUCUCUUCGGUUUGUUGGCGAAGUCAGUCGUCUUCAUUAGUAGCUGCAAACUCAACUGGGCAUAUCAAAAUUUUGGAAAUGGUUUAGAAGAGAGGAGCAAUGCCUUAAAUAAGGGUGUAACUUGUUUGCAGAAAAAUUGAGGCAGAGAAAUAUGUUGCGUACCCAAGAAGCUCAUGCAGCUACAACUUUUUACAAAGGUUAGAUCUUAAUAUUAAGCAACAAUAAUUUGGCAUUAUAUCAGAGUGGGUUGGGGACUUUUGUUUGGAAGAAAUUGGUGGCGUUCAAGUUUGUAGAUAGAAAUUCAAAGAGUAAGAGAGAAAGAGAAAGAGGAAGAGGGAAGUGUGGGGGUGGGGGUGAGUUGAUAUCCCUAUUCAUGUAUAAAUCGAAUGCAAAAUUCUUCAGAGCAAUCCAGUAUAUUGUAGUCUUUGCAUCUCUCUCCCUCACUCUCACUAAAAGAAAUUAUUUAAUGUGA